AUGGGCCACCAACAGUCCAGGUUUUGUCAAUAUCUCCAUUGGAAUAAAACAGGGACAUUUAUAAAUCCUGGACUGUUGGUGGUCCAUGAGGACA